rnacentral:tmRNA from 1 species
GGGGGCGAUCUGGUUUCGACGGGGGUGAGAGAAACGCGGAUGGCAUGUCGAGGUCCCGUUGGCUCGUAAAACAAACGGGGACUUUUCAACUGCCGACUAUUCACCGGCAUACGUCUGCUAACUAGUUCCACUAG